rnacentral:rRNA from 1 species
UACGAAGGGGGCUAGCGUUGCUCGGAAUUACUGGGCGUAAAGGGCGCGUAGGCGGAUGUCUAAGUUGGGGGUGAAAUCCCGGGGCUCAACCUCGGAACCGCCUUCAAUACUGGAUAUCUUGAGUUCGGGAGAGGUGAGUGGAAUGCCGAGUGUAGAGGUGAAAUUCGUAGAUAUUGGGAAGAACACCGGUGGCGAAGGCGGCCAACUGGACCACAACUGACGCUGAGGCGCGAAAGCGUGGGGAGCAAACAGG